AAGCAUAUCAAUAAGCGGAGGAAAAGAAACUAACAAGGAUUCCCCCUAGUAACUGCGAGUGAAGCGGGAAAAGCUCAAAUUUAAAAUCUGGCAGUCUCUGGCUGUCCGAGUUGUAAUCUAGAGAAGUAAUGCCCGUGCUGGACCGUGUAUAAGUCUCCUGGGAUGGGGCGUCAUAGAGGGUGAGAAUCCCGUCUUUGACACGGACUACCAGUGCAUUGUGGUAUGCUCUCAAAGAGUCGAGUUGUUUGGGAAUGCAGCUCAAAAUGGGUGGUAAAUUCCAUCUAAAGCUAAAUAUUGGCGAGAGACCGAUAGCGAACAAGUACCGUGAGGGAAAGAUGAAAAGAACUUUGGAAAGAGAGUUAAACAGUACGUGAAAUUGCUGAAAGGGAAACGCUUGAAGUCAGUCGCGUUGGCCGGGAAUCAGCCUUGCUUUUGCAUGGUGUACUUUCUGGUUGACGGGUCAGCAUCAAUUUUGACCGCUGGAAAAAGGCCUGGGGAAUGUGGCAGCUUCGGCUGUGUUAUAGCCCCUAGUCACAUACAGUGGUUGGGAUUGAGGAACUCAGCACGCCGCAAGGCCGGGUUUCGACCACGUUCGUGCUUAGGAUGCUGGCAUAAUGGCUUUAAGCGACCCGUCUUGAAACACGGACCAAGGAGUCUAACAUGCCUGCGAGUAUUUGGGUGGAAAACUCAAGUGCGUAAUGAAAGUGAAAGUUGAGAUCCCUGUCGUGGGGAGCAUCGACGCCCGGACCAGAACUUUUGGGACGGAUCCGCGGUGGAGCAUGUAUGUUGGGACCCGAAAGAUGGUGAACUAUGCCUGAAUAGGGUGAAGCCAGAGGAAACUCUGGUGGAGGCUCGUAGCGAUUCUGACGUGCAAAUCGAUCGUCAAAUUUGGGUAUA
rnacentral:rRNA from 1 species